rnacentral:rRNA from 1 species
UACGUAGGGGGCUAGCGUUGUCCGGAAUCAUUGGGCGUAAAGAGCGUGUAGGCGGCCCGGUAAGUCCGCUGUGAAAGUCGGGGGCUCAACCCUCGAAUGCCGGUGGAUACUGUCGGGCUAGAGUGCGGAAGAGGCGAGUGGAAUUCCUGGUGUAGCGGUGAAAUGCGCAGAUAUCAGGAGGAACACCGAUUGCGAAGGCAGCUCGCUGGGACGUAACUGACGCUGGAGAACGGCGAAAGCGUGGGGAGCAAACAGG